rnacentral:lncRNA from 1 species
AUGAAAUCAAGAUGGUCUUUGGUACAGGAGUCUUUGCAGUCCCAUCUCUUUGAGAGCAGUCCUCAAAAUGUGGUAAAAAAGAAUUGCAUUGAUCACAUUUCUCACAAUACAUCUAAGAGAAAACAUGAGAAGGAUGAGAAACAUUUAACACCCUCUGGCCCUCCCAUUCUGCAUUUCGGAUGACUGACAUUGUCUCCAGCCUCCUCUCAGCACAAUGAACAUCCCGGUGACUAAUCCAUGUGCCACAUCUGUUGCUGUGAUCAGAGGAGACAGGACCAGGACACAGAAGAAUAUCCGCCUAUUAGGUAGGCAGAGCUCUAGAAGGGGACUUGCGCUACUGCAAAAGAGAUUAAAUUAAAUGAUGAAACUUUGCAGUCCAUUGACUACGCUAGACCAACUACACUUUAUUCAGGGUUGUGAAGCUCUGAUGGAGAUUGGAAAAGCUGCCAAAGGGUCUGGAAUUACCUCUGUAUUGGAAUGGGAAGUUCCUGGUUCAAUACGAAAUUAGAAGGAUCAAAGAAAAUAAGGCUGGGUGUGAUCUUAAGGAAUCCUCUGGUCUAGACCAUGCAAUGUGCUGAGAGGCAUUCAUAGACAUCAAGGAGAUGCAGGGCUUGGGUUCAGGGCUGGAUCCUGGCUUUAGCAGCUCUAUGUUGUAAAAUUUUCAUAUCACAGGACAACCACAUAUCAAAGGGUUUGCACAGCCCUGCAUGCCUUUGGCAUGGGGGUGAACACACAGGAAUGAAGAGAGCUGAGGUGUGCCCGUUCUUCGCUGAGUACCAGAGGUCUUUCAUACAUCAGUGCAGCAUGAAAGAGGCUGGAGGUACAGGGCUGCAGAGACAUCAUCCAGUCAUGUCCAUCUUUUCUUCCACAGGAUCUUAUGCAGGGAAUAACUUAGUCAGCCCCAAGGAUUAAAGCUCUUCUGCCUUCACGUGCAGCACGCAGGCACACAGGGCUUCACUGUGCUGCUAUCCGUAUGCUGCGGAUACAGCAGGAUCAAUGCCAAGCUGUGGAUUAAAAUAGUAUUAACACCAUCUACUUUGGGACAUUGUACUGAGGCAGUUGUACCAUAAGCCAAGUCUUUCUGACUUAAGAAAAAUUACUAUCUGCAGUUUGCAUAGGGGCAGUCAAGAAAUUGGCUUCUUUCAGCAGCUGGAGAAAGGGAACACAAUUAGAAGACCAAAUACAGGGAACAACACUGGGAUACUUUGCUUCAGUAGGAUUUGUGCCCUGUGUAAGUUUACCUGCCACUGGUGACUCACCUUUGCUUAGAUUUCAUCUUAAUGGGAAUUUUCCCAGCCACUCUUUGUGAUGAGAAGAUGUAGAUAGAUCUAAUUCUUUUCAGCAAUUCAGUGCUUUUAGCUGCAAAACUACAAUGGAAUGAAAAAUGCAAUUUGGAAAAGAACCGAUGGUGUUUGUUUUGUUCUGUAGUUUCCCACUGAAAAAAAGGAUUUUUUUUCCCCCUGCUACUCAAAACACGGAAACGAAUUCUAACAACAGCUCACAAUUGGAAGGAAUUAACCAAGUAAAUACAUGAACUGCAACUUAGGAAAGCUGUUUUCAAAAGCCGUUUGCAGGAACUGCUGAAUCACUGCACCUCCUCAUUGCUCACCAGGUCACACUGCUCUGCUGGAGCAGCUUGUGGCUGCUGGCUUUGCUUGGACCUGUUGCACCGAUGGUCUGGUGCAAGAGCAGGACAAGCUCUUGCAGGACAUCUUACAUUGCAACAAAUGUACAGAUAUUUAUAGGAGCCUUUAAAAAACUGCCUAUCGCUCAUCUGGCUUCCUUGUUUCAGAGAUAAUGCGAUGAUUCCAACAUAUCCAGUCCUUCUCUAAUUUAAUGGUUUAAGAGUUUUAAGACCCACUACUCUCCCUCAUUUCAUAGGGGCUCUCCAGCUAAAUCUGGUGCUUUGGUAACUUUGAAAUUAAUCUCUGUGGUUUUCUUAGCAUUUAGAGGUUCAUUACUCCAUCCCAGGCAGAUACACAGCAAGCUCUGGCCUCAUAUUUCUACUGUUUCGUUUUACUUUCCUUCAGGGAUUUUUCUCUUUCCCCUUAAUCUUGCAGCUCGCAUCCUCAGGAAAAAAAAAUAAAUGCCAUGAACUUCAGGUUAAAUAAAACCGC